UCUACGGGUGGCAGCAGUGAGGAAUAUUGGUCAAUGGAGGCAAGUCUGAACCAGCCAUGCCGCGUGCAGGAUGACGGCUCUAUGAGUGGUAAACUGCUUUUGUACGAGGGUAAACGCAGAUACGCGUAUAUGUCUGUACGUAUAUUACGAAUAAGGAUCGGCCAACUCCGUGCCAGCAGCCGCGGUAAUAAGGAGGAUUCAAGCGUUAUCCGGAUUUAUUGGGUUUUAAGGUUGCGUAGGAGGUCUGAUAAGUUAGAUGUGAAAGCCCGUGGCGUAACUUCGGAAUUGCUUUUGAUACUGGUCGGCGUGAGAGCAGGUGAGGUAGGCGGAAUGUAUGGUGUAGCGGUGAAAUGCUUAGAGAUC
rnacentral:rRNA from 1 species